rfam:Baudoinia panamericana TAMH 10762 unplaced genomic scaffold BATCOscaffold_15, whole genome shotgun sequence.
ACAUACGGCCAUAGGUCGCAGAGAACAGAGGAUCCCGUUCGCUCUCCUGUACUUAAGCUGCGAACCGGUGGAUUAGUAGUGCGGUCGGUGACGACGCGCGAAUACCCGCUGCCGUAUGUU